GAUGAACGCUGGCGGCGUGCUUAACACAUGCAAGUCGAACGAUGAAGGGGGAGCUUGCUCCUCUGGAUUAGCGGCGAACGGGUGAGUAACACGUGAGCAAUCUGCCCCUGACUCUGGGAUAAGCGUUGGAAACGACGUCUAAUACCGGAUACGAGCCGAGCAGGCAUCUGCAUCGGUUGGAAAUAACUUCGGUGCAGGGAUGAGCUCGCGGACUAUCAGCUAGUUGGUGAGGGAAUGGCUCAACAAGGCGGCGACGGGUCGCCGGCCUGAGAGGGUGACCGGCCGCACGGGCACGGAGACACGGGACGGACUCCUACGGGAGGCAGCAGUGGGGAAUAUUGCACAUGGGGCGCAAGCCUGAUGCAGCAACGCGGCGUGAGGGACGACGGCCUUCGGGUUGUAAACCUCUUUUAGCAGGGAAGAAGCGAGAGUGACGGUACCUGCAGAAAAAGCACCGGCUAACUACGUGCCAGCCGCCGCCGUAA
rnacentral:rRNA from 1 species